GACAGAGGGUGCAAACGUUGCUCGGAUUGACUGGGCGUAAAGCGCGUGUAGGUGGUCUCGCCAGUCAGGUGUGAAAGCCCAGGGCUCAACCCUGGAAGUGGCACCUGAUACUACGAGGCUUGAGUUCUGUAGAGGAGAGCGGAAUUCCCGGUGUAGAGGUGAAAUUCGUAGAUAUCGGGGAGGAACACCAGUGGCGAAGGGCGGCUCUCUGGACAGGUACUGACACUGAGACGCGAAAGCGUGGGUAGCAAACAGG
rnacentral:rRNA from 1 species